GACGAACGCUGGCGGCGUGCCUAAUACAUGCAAGUCGAGCGGGCCUCCGGAGGUGCUUGCACCUCCGGAAGGCCAGCGGCGGACGGGUGAGUAACACGUGGGCAAGCUGCCUUUGAGGCCGGGCUAACACCGGGAAACCGGUGCUAAUACCGGAUGCGUCCCCUUUCGCGCCUGCGAGAGGGGUGAAAUAGACGGUCUUCGGGCCGUCGCUCAAAGAGGGGCCCGCGGCGCAUUAGCUGGUUGGUGGGGUAAGGGCCUACCAAGGCGACGAUGCGUUGCCGAACUGAGAGGGUGAUCGGCCACACUGGGACUGAGACACGGCCCAGACUCCUGCGGGAGGCAGCAGUAGGGAAUCAUCCGCAAUGGGCGAAAGCCUGACGGUGCAACGCCGCGUGAGUGAGGAAGGUUUUCGGAUCGUAAAGCUCUGUUGUGAGGGAAGAACAGCUUCCGGAGGAAAUGCCGGAGGUUUGCCGGUACCUCACCAGAAAGCCCCGGCUAACUACGUGCCAGCCGCCGCAGUAACAC
rnacentral:rRNA from 1 species